AGGAAAAUAGUUUAAUUGGUAAAAUAAUAGUCUACCAAAAUUAUUGUUGUUGGUUCAAGUCCAAUUUUUCCUG
rnacentral:tRNA from 2 species